UACAGAGGGUGCGAGCGUUAAUCGGAAUUACUGGGCGUAAAGCGCACGUAGGUGGCGACGUAAGUCGGGUGUGAAAGCCCCGGGCUCAACCUGGGAAUUGCAUUCGAGACUGCAUUGCUGGAGUACGGAAGAGGAGGGCGGAAUUCCCGGUGUAGCGGUGAAAUGCGUAGAGAUCGGGAGGAAUACCGGUGGCGAAAGCGACUCUCUGGACGGCAACUGACGCUGAGGCACGAAAGCGUGGGGAGCAAACAGG
rnacentral:rRNA from 1 species